rfam:Brachypodium distachyon strain Bd21 chromosome 1, whole genome shotgun sequence.
CAUAUACUCUCUCCAUCCAACAAAGAUGUCUCAAGUUUGUCAAAAUUUGAAUGUAUCUAGACAUGACUUAGAGUAUAGAUGCAUUCAAAUUUAGUUAAAGUUGAGACAUACUUUGUUGGAUGGAGGGAGUACUAG